GGCCCAAGUUGGCCCAUGACUGUUAAGAGUAUGUCAUCCAUGUACAUGAAGGAAUUGUGGAAGUCCAAGACACCUGGAGAGAGGGCCCAAGUUGGCCCAUGACUUCUAUGAGUAUGUCAUCCAUGUACAUGAAGGAUGUUCUCCACAUACUAAAGGAACUGCAGAAGUCCAAAACACCUGGAGGGAGGGCCCAAGUUGGCCCAUGUUUAUGUUAAGAGUAUGUCAUCCAUGUACAUGAAGGAAUUGUGGAAGUCCAAAACACCUAGAGGGCCCAAGUUGGCCCAUGACUGUUAAGAGUAUGUCAUCCAUGUACAGGAAGGAUGUUCUCCACAUACUAAAGGAACUGUGGAAGUCCCAAACACCUGGAGGAGGGCCAAAGUUGGCCCAUGCCUGCUGUAAAUCUUUCCCUUCUUUCCGGCCAAGGAGUUGCAGAAGGUUCCCUGCUGCUCCAUUUAAUUAAGGCUUGGGAAUCAAACCCGAAACACAGGAUGACAAAUAAGCCAUUUCCAUUUGCAGCGGGUUGGGUUGCACCAACUAACCCGCGUCCCCUGCUCUGAACGGACACACAGACACACACAGACACACCUGGGGUUGCGAGGGUUGCAGACAAACAAAUGGCCCAUCGGAAACAAAACAAACACGACUGGCUCAGAUUUUCUUUUGGUGGAAGUCUAUAAAUAACAAUAAUACAAAACACACCCAAAUGUGUACCCUGGAAAGCGUUAAUGGUUUUUGUCGAUUCUUCCCCCCGUUUAAAAUAAAAUAAAAUUGGAAGAGAGUUGGUCACUAUCUGGACACGUCCAUGCGCAUGCACGCGAAGUAUCACUUCCACCUGGAAGAAGUAAGGGGUGGCUGGAAGUGUCAGAGGGCUGAUUAGGGUCGCUUCAUGUUUUUAUUUUGUAAGUAAGUCGAUAUAAUUGCAUUGAGAAUGUGCAAAGGGGAAGCAAGAGCGGGCAGGAAAUGGCGAGGUGAUGCCGCUUCAGUUUCGUCUCCCCGCUCCACUUUUGUCUCGCCACUCCCCCGUUGUCUUCCCACUCCGCUUUCGUCUCCUCGCUCCGCUUUCGUUUCCCUGCUCCACUUUUGUCUCGCCACUCCCCCGUUGUCUUCCCACUCCGCUUUCGUCUCCCCGCUCCCUCUCGUCUCCCCGCUCCCUCUUGUCUUCCCGCUCCCUCUUGUCUUCCCGCUCCACUUUUAUCUACCCGCUCCCCAGUUGACUCCCCACUCUGCUUUCAUCUCCCCGCUCCCCCGUUGUCUCCCUGCUCCGCUUUCGUCUCCUCGCUCCCCCUUGUCUCCCCGCUCCGCUUUCGUCUCCUCGCCUCCUGCCUAUCUAUCUAUCCAUCUACGUAUCCACCACCAAGACACUACACUCGGAAGGCCACCGUGCUCGGACAACGAGGGAUCGCCUAUCUCAGUAUCCAUCCAUCAAACCCUUCUUUUGUCCGCAAGGAACACGAGGAAACGCCGGCCUAUUUCUCUCCACCGUGUUGCGCCGUGUUCACCAAAGAGGGGCAGAAGUACGGGAACGGAGGAAAGUUGUCAGCAGGAGGAAGAGAGUCGUCCGGCUCGAAAGACGGGCGAUGGUGAGAAAUGCUACAUAUCCCGGGGAGGAAAGGGGGAGAAGACACGGAUAGCGGACUCUCAUUCGUUCACUCGCUCGCCACGCACCCCACCACCCCGCACUUCCUGCUUUAAAAGAAUGCACAGUGCUUCCCGUUCACAUAGAAGUCACCAAAAAAACGAAAAGGAGAACGUUUACAAAAGUGUUUAA
rnacentral:lncRNA from 11 species